UUAUAUAGCACAAGGAAAGAAAACAAUGUACUUUGUAAAAAGUUAGUUUACAUUGGUGUGACGUCACUUAGAGGCGCUGUUACGUCUGACUCUCAGUUCUACAUGUGACUGAAGAGAGUCAGGUUGGUUUUGUUGCAUCUCUGUACAACGAGUAAUACAAAUAUAAAAAUAGUUAAAAAUAUUAGUUGAUAUUAAAGUUAGAAGUGUUAGAAAGAUGGAUUGAGUUUAUAUUUUUGAUUUUCUAUGAGAAGUUAGAUGCAUUUCAAGUUUUAGAAAUGAACGGCCUUAAUUUGUUUGUUUAAUGUUGCCGCCCGCAUGGAAAUUUAGAGUGCGAGGUUUUUCCUUUUAAUAUUCGUUUUAAAUUACAAAGUUUUGGUGGAUUGUGUCUGUAGAUAUGUUAUGUUGUUUAUUUUACUUUAAUUGGGUGUUUUGUAAAUUUUAUUUAAGUCGUGUAUUUUGUAUAUUUAGCCAACUGAGACCCAGAAUUUAAGUAUGCAGUUACUGUGUUAAUGGAGGACAGGGAUUAAUCUGUUUGUCUCACAUCCUUCAGACAGACUGUUGGUGAGAGGAUGUGUGUGUGAUCCCGUGUCUUUUGUUUAAUAAACUGCAGGUAUGUAAACCACAAACCACUAUACGAUCACAUAAUUGAGUGAAAUUGGCUAAAUAAGUGAUUGACUUUUGUGAUUGACUUUUAAAUAAGUGAUUGAAGAGAAUUGGCUGAUAAGUGUGUUUCAUGUAUAAUGUAAAGGAAAAGUGUACAUGUUGAGUUAAUUUUAUUUUCUAUAAUUUUUAUGUAUAUUUGUGUAAGAAAUGUAAGAGACUAUCAGAUGGACUUUAUUCAGGACUCUCAGUUCUACAUGUGACUGAAGAGAGUCAGACAGACUGUUGGUGAGAGGAUGUGUGUGUGAUCCCGUGUCUUUUGUUUAAUAAACUGCAGACGUGAUUCACCAAAGAGCCUGGAGUUGGUGUGUCAUUUGUGGUGCUGGGUGAUUCCCACCUCCACCUUGUGUGUGUGGAGUUCGCAUGUUCUCCCCGUGCCUCGGGGGUUUCCUCGGGGUACUCCGGUUUCCUCCCCCGGUCCAAAGACAUGCAUGCAUCAAUCAAUACCAAGGUGUCCAGAGAGCAAUCCCGUGAGACCUAAAAACCAGGACAUCUCUGCAGUGUUGUCUCCAACUCUACAUUAUAAUGAGAACUCUCUCCACUUCCUUCCAUCCAUCCAUCCAUCCAUCCAGAGGUUUUCAUGCACUAUCCAUCCAUCCAUUUCUGAACACAGGAUCAUGGAGCAUUGGAGUCUAUCUCAGAGGAGUCAGGACAGAAGGUCCCCAUAGACCCAACCGAUCACAGGACAUGAACACAUUAUUUACUGUCCAGUGUCACCCUGUCCAGGAUGAGGUUCCCUACUUCCUCUCAAGGUUUCUUCCUCAUAUAAUCUCAGGGAGUUUUACCUGUCACCGUCGCCUCCGGCUUGCUCAUUAGGGAUAGAUGUUAGGGAUAAAUAGUAACUUAAUUUUAAACUUUACAUUUUUUUUAUUCAGUUUCUACACUUCUGUAAAGCUGCUUUGAGACAAUGUGAAUAGUUCAAAUCACUAUGAAAAUAAAUUGAAUUGAACACACACACACACACACACACACACACAUCUAUUCACACACUACAGACAGCAUAGAGAUACCACUCAGCCUGUAGCACAUGCCUUUGGACCGAGGAGGAAACUAAAGAACCCAGAGGCGCAUGGAGAACUUGCAAACAUUUUAUCCUCCUAUGAAAUCUCUCAAAAAAAUAGCAAAACGAGUAGUCAUCUUUUCCCCAAUUAAAAUGACAGAUGAGCCAAAUGACAUGUGAACCUACCAUAGGUUGACAACUGACAACCUGGAAGCCCCUCCCACUUCCCCUCGAUCUCACCUUGUAAUCUCUCGCCUCAAUAUUCCUCCUUAAAUGUGUUUUAAUGUGGCGUCCUCACUUUCUGUCAAGGUUAAUGGAGAAUGCGUUGAGUACAUUAAUAUCAAAUAAAACCUAGAACUGUU